GAUGAACGCUGGCGGCGUGCUUAACACAUGCAAGUCGAACGAGAAAUGGAGACGGAAACCUUCGGGCGGAAGGCUUCAUUUCGAGUGGCGGACGGGUGAGUAACGCGUGGGUAACCUGCCUCAUACAGGGGGAUAACAGUUGGAAACGACUGUUAAUACCGCAUAAGACCACAGCACCGCAUGGUGCGGGGGUAAAAACUCCGGUGGUAUGAGAUGGACCCGCGUUCGAUUAGCCAGUUGGCGGGGUAACGGCCCACCAAAGCGACGAUCGAUAGCCGAUCUGAGAGGAUGACCGGCCACAUUGGGACUGAGACACGGCCCAAACUCCUACGGGAGGCAGCAGUGGGGAAUAUUGCACAAUGGGGGAAACCCUGAUGCAGCGACGCCGCGUGAGUGAAGAAGUACUUCGGUAUGUAAAGCCCUAUCAGCAGGGAAGAAAAUGACGGUACCUGAGGAAGAAGCCCCGGCUAACUACGUG
rnacentral:rRNA from 1 species